AAAAAAUUUUUAUAGUUUUAUUAUUUUAUUUUAAAUUUAUUUUACAUACAAAUUUUAGUAUGAAAUUUUAUUUAUUUUAAUAAUAUAAAAUUAUAAUGUAGUAAUUAGUUUUAAAUAUUUAAGAAAUUAAGAUUUAGUAAUUUAAAAAUAAAUAACUAAUUUUGUGCCAGCAGUUGCGGUUAUACAAAAAUUUAAUUAAAAUUUUUCAGUAUAAUAAUAAAUAAAAGUUAAAUUAAAUUAAAAGUUAAAUUUUUAAGUGAAAUUUUAAUUUAAUAAAAAUUUAUAAAAUUUUAUGAUUUAAUAAAUUUUUAAAAAAACUAGGAUUAGAUACCCUAUUAUUAAAAUUUAAAAUUUUAUACUAAAAUAGUAAAUAAUAAUUUAUUGAAACUUAAAUAAUUUGGCGGUAUUUUAGUUCAUUUAGAGGAAUCUGUCUAAUAAUUGAUAAUCCACGAUUAAAUUUACUUAAUUUAAUAUUUUAUAUAUCGUUGUUAAAAAAAUAUUUUUAAAUAAAAUUAAUAUUUAAAAAUUAUAAUUAAAAAUUAAUUCAGAUCAAGAUGUAGAUUAUAAUUAAGAAUAUGAUGGAUUACAAUAAAUUUAUUUAAAUGGAUUUUUUUUUUUAAUAAAGAAAUGAAGGUGGAUUUAAAUGUAAUUUUAUUUAAUAUAAUAAAAUGAUUAAAAAUUAAAGUAUGUACAUAUUGCCCGUCGCUUUCAUUUUAAAAUUGGAAUAAGUCGUAACAAAGUAGAUGUACUGGAAAGUGUUUCUAGAAU
rnacentral:ncRNA from 1 species